GACCUCGGAUCAGGUAGGGAUACCCGCUGAACUUAAGCAUAUCAAUAAGCGGAGGAAAAGAAACCAACAGGGAUUGCCUCAGUAACGGCGAGUGAAGCGGCAACAGCUCAAAUUUGAAAUCUGGCCCUUGGGUCCGAGUUGUAAUUUGCAGAGGAUGUUUCGGGCGUGGUCCGGUCUAAGUUCCUUGGAAUAGGACGUCAUAGAGGGUGAGAAUCCCGUAUGCGACUGGGUGCCUAAGCUCAUGUGAAACUCCUUCGACGAGUCGAGUUGUUUGGGAAUGCAGCUCAAAAUGGGUGGUAAAUUUCAUCUAAAGCUAAAUAUUGGCCAGAGACCGAUAGCGCACAAGUAGAGUGAUCGAAAGAUGAAAAGCACUUUGGAAAGAGAGUUAAACAGUACGUGAAAUUGUUGAAAGGGAAGCGCUUGCAACCAG
rnacentral:rRNA from 1 species